rnacentral:rRNA from 1 species
UCCGCCCGGGUACUACGAGCUUAGCUUAAAACCCAAAGGACUUGGCGGUGCCCUAUUCCAUCUAGAGGAGCCUGUUCUUUAAUCGAUAAUCCACGAUUCACCUUACCAUUUCUUGCCAAAACAGCCUAUAUACCGCCGUCGUAAACUUACCCUUUGAAGGAAUCAUAGAAAGUUUAAAGGUACCCGCCAAAACGUCAGGUCCACGUGUAGCAAAUGAAAUGGGAAGAAAUGGGCUACAUUUUCUAUAAUAGACCAAACGGAUAAUCAAUAUGAAAUCUGAUCAUGAAGGAGGAUUUAGUAGUAAAAAGAAAUCAUCAAAUUCUUUUUAACCGUUCCUGGGCGCGCACACACCGCCCGUCACCCUCUUCGACUAUAUUAAUUUUAUACUUAAUAAACUAUUUUAAAACUUAGAAGAGGUAAGUCGUAACAUGGUAAGUAUACCGGAAGGUGUACUUGGA